UAAUAAAACUUAGCUUACCCAUCUGUUCGUGUUGAUCAGAUCGCAGCCUUGAGGUCUUAGGGGUGGAAUACGGGAAAUCUAAGCGAUCCAAACAAUAGUUUCCUCACCAUCAAACCCACGACAGAUUUGUCGACUAUAAUUGUUUGAUUUGUUUCUAUCUUACGACCGGUAAUUUUGUAGAUCUCCUUUCUUUGUUUCUUCUGGGUCAGUCCUUUUGUUUCUUCUGGAUGAUAAACUGUCGCUGUAACUAUAUGGAUCCUCUUCCCUUCAGUAUUCAGAAAUAUAUCAGUCCUUGAUUUGGGUUUAAUUGGAGCCACUUCAAUUUAUCCUCUAUUGAUCAUCCAUGGGUAUCCCAACCACAUCUACCCGAUCAAAUUCAAAUACAAAUAAGAGUAAGGAUCCGGGUAUGAUGAUGACGAAUAAUUGGUAGAAGACGAAGAAGAAGAGAUUGAUGAGGAAGAAGAGGAGCCGUUUCAGAAACCUAUGUGGAGAGAGGCCGUGAAAGUCUCCUGAGGUUGACGAGGUUUUUCCUUUUCGAAGUGGCAGUUAUAUAUCCAAACUUGGCUGGUAUUCUUUGCUUGAGUUUUUAUCCGCAUAUGAGAUUGUUCAUGAUCAGGGAGAAGAAUAAGUUGUUACAGAAACGAUGUUGAUAAGAAGAGAGCGUUUAUCUAAAGAGAGUCAGUUUUGUUUAUGUCGAAUUUCUCUAAAAAAGAAAAAAAAAACAAUUUUUUUUAUGGUAUUUAGUAUUUAUUUUUAAAUAUUUACUAUACACUAAUCCUCAACGCACUGUUCAUCGGCUUAUGAACAGUAACGACUUCAGCCGAGCCGUCCAUGGAUGAAAAGUCGAUUUUGCUCCUGCAUGUUGUUUCUUGGCUUCGACACCUGGAGUGUUGCUCCGUGCAUGUUGUUUCUUCCUCCGACACCUGGGGUCAGUGCUAUCGUGUCUUUCCCUACUUCACUCCACAGAGAGAGAGAGAGAGGUAGAUAGUGAAGGAAGUGGUGCUGAGAAUUGCGCAACCGAGCUUAGCUUUGGAGAAAUUAGCAUGUUGUCAUCGAGCUUAGGGAGAGAGUUGCAGAGAAUAGGUUCUGGGUUUCUGCAUGUUGUCAUCGAGCUUCGCUUUGGAGAAAUUAGCAAAGAUGGGUUAAAUUUGAGGGCGAUUAUCAGUAACUUUGUUGUUUUCAGUAGUCGUUAUUGCUCGAUUGAGAGAGAGAUAGAGGAGCAGAGUUUUUUUUGCAUGUUUUCAUUUUUCUGAAGUCUACUAAAUCCGGGUCCGACGCCGACAAUACUUCCAAUUUUGAGUUGUGCUUUUUUGCUGGACUUGCACAGGGAGAGAACAAGUUUCAAGGUUGGAGCUGAUUUUCACGUUUGCGGCUUUAUAAUCCUUAAAGCCAGAAGAGUUUUAAUGCUUGACAUAGUCUAAAAGCCAUGAGGUUACACAUUUGAGAGGGAGAUUUGAAUAAGCAGAUGAAGAACUCAGUGAUAGUCUUGAACGACCCAUAGGCUUUAGGCUCCGAUGGCUGCUUGAAGGACGCAGAUUGGGAAGUUGGCUGUGGUUCGUCACGCAUUGUCCAGAUGCCCCUAUUGCGCAAGAUUCUAUGCAAAAAAGUAUGCACGUGAUUUUGUUGCCGCUUUCCUUUGUAUGUUAUCCAGUGCUAUCUUGAUCUACUAUUUUCAUUCAGAUUCUGUGCCAUUCCACCACUUCAUUUUGGGUUUUGUCCAUCGUUUCUCGAGCAUUCGAUUCAAUUCCAUAUUUCCUGUCAAGCUCUUCUCUAUUUGGCAUCCAUAUGCAGAGAGAGAGAGAGAGAUCGGCCUUCAAAAAAUUUCAGGUUUUACAUACUGAAAUAUAUACAUGAAUAUGAAUAAGGUUUAUCCAAAAACCUAAACUCUUGGCUAACAUUAAUGUCUUAUUUAACAUAUUUACUCUUUAGGUGCAUUAACAUAUUUGCUUUGGAAAUAUGCAACUAAUCAUUACAACCCUUACCCACAAUAUUCAGACCAUACAGGAUGUAGAAACAUAGUCCACAAAGCUGUGAUAUACACAUAAUCAAAUAGGAUGUAGAUGAUGGAGAUGUCAGCUUAAUGUAGAUUGAAAGGUGCUUAGAUAUGGAAUGAGGUUAGCCGAGGAUUAAAGCCGAAAGUUGUCUUCCUUUGUCCAUCGAGAUUCUAAUGGGUGUGGUUUUAUUGAGAUAACAGGUCUGGUGCUUGCUUUUCUGAGAACAAUAUGGGGAUGUCAUCCACUAGAAACUCAGUUUCUGGAUUUAGAACUUUUUGAACUGGCCAAGAUGAGUGUAGACCUUUAAUCAAGUGAAGGAUUGAACCAGCAAUGAUAUCCAUGACUUUCACAAUGACAGUGAAGGCAGCAUUGAACCAGCAACAUCAUCCAUGGAGUACUUCCACAAGGAGAAAACCGACUGAAGUAUGAUGACACACUUUGUGCAGACAGAGCUAGAAGGAGCAACUUUUUGGACAACCUCCAUAACUGCCCAUCAUUAGGCUAACAACUUUUCAGCAUACACUUAUUUUUGUCAAGCAGUGAUUGUAACUAAGCUAGCUUGCAACUAAAACAACCUAUUUUUUGCAAGCUAAUCCAGCAGCAACUGUAACUAUGUUAACUUUAAACUAUGAAAACCUAUUUUUUGAACACUACCACAACAUCUAUAUUAGUGGUAAUGUUAUUAGGACACAAUCAACAUCUUCUGUUAUAAAUGAUUUGCCAUCAGAAUUUACUUCUCAA